ACAAGGUGGCAGGAAGAAGUGUCGAGCAAAGUGGGGUAGAGCCCCUUAUAAAACAAUCAGAUCUUGUGAGAACUCACUCAUUAUUACAAGAACAGCAUGCAGGAAACCGAUUCCAUGAUUCCAUUACCUCCACCGGGUCUCUCCGUUGACACAUGGGGAUUAUGAGGAUUACGAUUCAAGAUGAGAUUUGGGUGGGGGCACAAAGCCUAACCAUAUGAGGGGUCUAGUUUCAUUCUUCUGCAUAUGGAUAUCCAGUUUUCCCA
rnacentral:lncRNA from 1 species